rnacentral:rRNA from 1 species
UACGGGGGGAGCAAGCGUUGUUCGGAUUUACUGGGCGUAAAGGGCGCGUAGGCGGCCACCGCAAGUCGACUGUGAAAUCUCCGGGCUUAACCCGGAAGGGUCGUUCGAUACUGUUGAGCUAGAGUGUGGAAGAGGCAACUAGAAUUCCGUGUGUAGCGGUGAAAUGCGUAGAUAUACGGAGGAAUACCUGAGGCGAAGGCGGGUUGCUGGGCCAACACUGACGCUGAAGUGCGAAAGCCAGGGGAGCAAACGGG